GAGUCAAGCGGUCUUCAAAGUAUCCAGCAAAGAGAACGCGGUUCUUUUUAAGCGCGUUUUUAUUAAAUUCUACUCAUAUAAUUUAUAAUUUGCGUCGCUAUAUAAUUUCUCCUUGUUUCGUAGAAUACCAACAAAAUCAAUACAAGUUUAACAACAACAACAACAACACCAACCAACCGAAUUGGAAUUUCGUUGUUUCAAAAAUAAAACCAAAAUAAUCGGAAAUAAAAACGUAAAACGCAAAAAGUUUCGUUUCGAAAUUUUCCUUUGAACGGAAUUUGGAUAUUUUUCUCCAGCAAAACCCAGAGGGGCUGUAAAUUGCAUAGCCAGCAAGUUGGUGUGCGGUGUUUAAAAACGGUUCCUAACAAAAACAACAGUCCCAAAUUAACUGCUGACAUUAGAAUUUCCACAAGUGAAGGCCAAGUCCAGCAUUGAGGGGAAACGGAAGCAGCCGGAAAUCAGCUCUAAAUUUCAAAAUCUCUACAACAAACAUAUGUCUUGUUGAUUUUUUAGGUUCAUUCUCAAUUUUCAUUCUCAACAAAAAACUAUUGCGAUUGUUUCGAAACACACACACACACUCAAACAAAUCUACUCAUAUAUAUAUGUAGAUAUAUUUACGUCUACAUACAUAUGUUCAUACAUGUAUGAAGAUUGUCGAUUGACUCUUUAAUUUCGGUGUUUAAUUUACCCAACAACGCACACAGAACGAGGCAAGAACCAUUCAACGAAACUUUAACGCUGAAUAGAAAAAAUAAGUAGCAAACGAGCUAAGAGAUCCUUUUACUGGACAUCUCGCGCCCCACAUUCGGCAAAGUGUUCUUUAAAGAAUCUGCGUUCAUCAAAUGUUCCAUUUAAAAGUAAAAUUCCAUUGAUUUGAAGCAAAAACACGAAACGGAGAAAAGAACGAAUUUAAACGCGAAUUAAGGAUUGAAAGCGCGCCUAAACUCAAAAAACAAAAACAAUCUGCAGUAUUGAUAUAUACACAAGAGACAAACCAAAGGACAACCAAGGAGUUUUCCAGAGAGAAUUUCGCCCCCCCCCCCAUAUGAAUCCCAAAAGAAAAGUUGUGGUCUGAUCAUAAAAAGAGUGAAUAUUUUUUAAGAACUCAACGCCGGCUAUAUGCAAAACAACAACCUUCAAGAAGUUGUUCAAAAAUUUUACCACACUAAGCGACAAGCGGCUUAAAAAGUUGAAGACAAAAAUCUCCCCCCAAAAAGUAAAUCAAAUAUAAGCAAUUUUCAUAAAUGGUGUGUAUGCAUUUUAUAUAGAAAAUAAGUGUAAGCAAACGAUUAUAAGUGAAAACCAUUUUUUUAGAAAAAAAGAAAAACAAAAACGUAAAGAAAACUCCCCCCAAAAUAAAAUAUUGAUGUUUUAUAUAUUUACACAAAAAUAUAUAUUGAGUGUUUAAGAAUUUUGAGCAAAGACUUUCAUAAUUAUAAUUCACCCAAAAAAGAUACAGAGAGAAAGAGGAUUAAGCCCCACAAAAAAGAUCCACGCCCAUACACUUACAAACAAACACACACACACACACAUGUUCACACACCAAGCAACACCUAUAAAAAAAGGACUUCCAACGAUUUUAGCAAAAAGACGACGAAAUUUUAAGUUCUUUUAAAAUAAAAAAAUUUAAGACAAAACAAAAAGAGAACAUACUUCAACGGUUAACAAAUAAGAAAGACACUUUUUAAAGAAAGGCCAAAUUUUUGAACUCAUCAACCAACAACAACAAACUAUAAAGUUUAAAACUACUUCAUAAGUAAAACGAAAAACUUAAAAAAAGUAUAUUAAAAAAAAGCACUGCAAUAAAAAAGGGUUUGUGACUUUAAUGAUAAUUUUUUUAAUAUAAACUGUUUUUAUAACAAAAAAAAAAAGAAAACAAAAUACAAAAGAAAACAAACAUUUUAUAAGAAACUGAAAAAAAAAUCCAAAAAUUUAAACAAAAAAAAACCCAUUUUUAAAGGAAAGCCAACAAACUUAAAACAUAUAUCGUUAAGACAAAGUGAUUUUUUAACCAAAAAAUAAAUAAAACCAAGAUUCCGGAGCGAAACGCGAUCAAACUACGAGUUGUUUAAAGUUUAAAUCAUAUAUCAACUGGAAAGAUCUUACACCAAGAAAAAAGAUUUGAUACAAACUACAGAAAUUUAUACACUUUGAGUAAGCAAUCAAGCAGCUAUUAAUUGUACACCAAGUGAGAAAAUACAAAAACCCAAAAAAAAAAAAAUAUUUUAUAUUAUUCCAAAAUCAAGAAUAUUCCAAAACAAAAAAAAACAACAAACAGAAAUCUUGCAAAUCAACACCACCAAAGAAAACCAACUAUUACAGAGCUAACAAAAACAAAAAUAACGAAUUGACAACAACAACCACAAAAAAAAAAAACAAAAAUAAUAAUCAUUUAUACACUUUAAUAGAGACUCAGAAAAAGAUUUAAGAAUUUUUUGAGUAUAAAUCAACCAAAUGUUCCAUAUUGAAAUACAACAACAACAAC
rnacentral:sRNA from 1 species